UCGACGCAGUGUCUCAGUCUGAUCCCAGAAAAAACACUUUAAAGUUAUCUUGCGAAGUGGCUGUGCCAUUACGAAUUCUCACCAGCAAUGAAUGAAGAUUCCUGUUGCCUCAUAUUUUCGCAAGCAUUUGAUUAUGUCCAUAUUUUGAAUUUUAGUCAGUUUAAUGGGUGCAUAGUGGUAUCACAAUGUUGUUCUAAUAUACAAUGCUUCAAUGAUAUAUGAUAUUAAACAUCUUUUCAUAUG